rnacentral:lncRNA from 1 species
GGGUGUUAGAUAUGUAUUGCACAGGCAUUAUUUUACCAUUGUUAGGUUAAGUUCUUCUAAUAUUUGAAAUGUCUUGAAAGGCGUUGUGGAACUUAAGAUCACACAGCUAUCUGGCAUUUUUUUCCUUUUUAUCUUUCUGUCCAAUUUUCCAGGUUAAACUGAAAUAUCGAUAUAUGUACAAAGUUUGAAAUAUAACCCAUGUUUUUAGAUCUGCAAAU